rnacentral:rRNA from 1 species
ACAUGGGAAUCUGCCCAGUCGUGGGGGAUAACGUAUGGAAACGUACGCUAAUACCGCAUGCGCCCUUCGGGGGAAAGCCGGGGAUCUUCGGACCUGGCGCGAUUGGAUGAGCCCAUGUCGGAUUAGCUAGUUGGGGGGGUAAAGGCCCACCAAGGCGACGAUCCGUAGCUGGUCUGAGAGGAUGAUCAGCCACACUGGAACUGAGACACGGUCCAGACUCCUACGGGAGGCAGCAGUAGGGAAUAUUGGACAAUGGGCGCAAGCCUGAUCCAGCCAUGCCGCGUGUGUGAAGAAGGCCUUCGGGUUGUAAAGCACUUUUGUCCGGAAAGAAAAGCGCUGGGUUAAUACCCUGGUGUCCUGACGGUACCGGAAGAAUAAGCACCGGCUAACUUCGUGCCAGCAGCCGCGGUAAUACGAAGGGUGCAAGCGUUACUCGGAAUUACUGGGCGUAAAGCGUGCGUAGGUGGUUUGUUAAGUCUGAUGUGAAAGCCCUGGGCUCAACCUGGGAAUUGCAUUGGAUACUGGCAGGCUAGAGUGCGGUAGAGGGUAGUGGAAAUUCCCGGUGUAGCAGUGAAAUGCGUAGAGAUCGGGAGGAACAUCUGUGGCGAAGGCGACUACCCUGGACCAGCACUGACACUUGAGGCACGAAAGCGUGGGGAGCAAACAGGAU